rnacentral:rRNA from 1 species
CCUACGGGGAGCAGCAGUGGGGAAUAUUGGACAAUGGGCGAAAGCCUGAUCCAGCCAUGCCGCGUGUGUGAAGAAGGCCUUCGGGUUGUAAAGCACUUUCAGUGGGGAAGAAAGCCUUGGGGCUAAUACCCUCGAGGAAGGACAUCACCCACAGAAGAAGCACCGGCUAACUCCGUGCCAGCAGCCGCGGUAAUACGGAGGGUGCGAGCGUUAAUCGGAAUUACUGGGCGUAAAGCGCGCGUAGGCGGUCUGAUAAGCCGGUUGUGAAAGCCCCGGGCUCAACCUGGGAACGGCAUCCGGAACUGUCAGGCUAGAGUGCAGGAGAGGAAGGUAGAAUUCCCGGUGUAGCGGUGAAAUGCGUAGAGAUCGGGAGGAAUACCAGUGGUGAAGGCGGCCUUCUGGACUGACACUGACGCUGAGGUGCGAAAGCGUGGGUAGCAAACAGGAUUAGAUACCCGAGUAGUC